UCUGGCCAUUCACUGGAAUGCCAGUCAAGGUCCACCUACUCGCAGGGUCAGCACAUGCCACCCAGUCCUCAGCCCUCCUGGGGCUCCCCUAUCACCAAAUUCUAUCCACAUUGUUAUUUCAAAUACUUAGUUUUCUUUUCUCAAGAAGAUGGCAAGUUUUCAAGGAUGCGCCAGGAUGACACUUUUGAAUUCUUUCCAUAUGGCCUCCCCUAAGAAAUAGGGUUUAGCAUCCAAGAGACCUGGGUUACGAUGAUUUUAUCCCUUGCUAGCUAUGUUCCUUCAAUCAAGUAUCUCCACCUCUCUGAGCUUCACUCUUCUGACCUGUAGGGCUAAUAAGAAGUCCCUAAGUCUUCUUGUGAGCUUAGAAGUAUCUAUCCCUCUCUGCCAUGAGUAUGUCUCUCAUGGCACUUAGCAUAGGGCCAAGCACUAAGUUACUCGGGAUUGUCCUAAGCAUGGCCCGAGUUCCCACUCAGGACCUCAACUGUCCCUCUAUAAAGCAGGGCAGGGUCUCUGGGCCACAUGGUCUCUUUGGCCCUUUCAGCCUAAUCUAUGACUGAGAUAGGAGCCAGUGAGUUCCACGGUCUUAGGCAGCCCAAGUUCUAGGCCUGGGUCUACCACAGGGGCUACCAGCCCUGGAAAAGAUGGAAGCUUUGUGGGCUUGUCCCCUGUCUGCACCAACGGGUUGGGCUGGCUGAGCUCCCAGGGCCCUUCCAGCUUGGACAUUCCAAAACCCUGUGAAAGAAGAUGAGUAGCGGCCAGUUCUGGGUGGGGCCCAUAAUCUCUGCCCUCCAGAGACCCUGGGUGGGGAGGUUGGGAAGGGUCACUGGCAGGGUGCCAGGCCUUGUGUGAGCCUGGAGCACAGCCACCAGAGGACCAGCGAGCAGGCAGCAGGAACGGAAGGCUGUGGGCUGGAGGGAAUAAAACAUGUGGGUAGGAAACACAAUGAGAUUCCCUUUGGCUCGGAGCCCUCCCCGGCAUGCGGGCUGCACACAGACCCAAGCCACGGGCGCAUGCAGGACAGGGGCGGGGAGCCGUCCCCUCCCAGGCUGAGUGGGCAGGAAGCCAGCUCCAGCUCCCAGACUCCAUCCAGCCUGGCAGCUGAAAGGGCAGAGCCAGUGAGAGGCCGAUGCCCUUCCUGGUUCUAAGGAUGGAUGCAUCAGAGAAAGGGAAAGGUUAUUAGCUGAGCUCUGGCAGGGAUCCUAUGCUGCUCGACCUCCCUGACCCUGUUGUCCACCCUGGAAAGAAUCAUUAUCCAUCAUGCCCAUUCCAUAGAUGUGGGUCCUAAGGCCAGAGGAAGCUGUGAUCUGACCAGUGGAGCCCAGGUUGGUGAGACUCCAAAGCCUGUGCUCUGAGGCCCACUUCUGGGGGGAGGGAGAGGUGCCUACAUGGCUGAGUCUUUGAGAAUCUGUAACGUCUCAGGCCAGUUGAUCUCUCUGAGCCCUUCCACCCCACACCCUCAGAACCAGCCAGGGUUGUCAAAGGUGAGAGGGCCAAGGGACUCUUGGCGACAGGAGCAAAUGGGGUACAGGGAGUGAGGGGCUAGGAGGCCUCUACUCCUGCUGCCCUGUACAUCUGCAGACUGUCCCAGCAGCCUCUGCCUUCCCAUCUCCAUAGCCCAAGGCCCUCUCCAACUGCACAAAAAAUACCCGCCCUCAGGGUGCCCACUCAGGCCCCUCCACCCAUAGGCCAGGCUCUCUAGAAGCCUAGACAAGACAUGGAAGCAGCUGAGCCUGCUGGGCUGCCCCCAGAGACCUGCUGGAGGCACUGAAACUGCCUAGGCCGACCCCUCCCUUCUCAUUGCAGCCCUCCUACCUCUCCAGGCUCGUCCAAGAUCGACAUCCAUCCCUUCUUGAAGUUGAGCAGAUCGGGCUGUGGGAAGAUGAGGAGGCAGAUAAUUUAGGCCCGGUGGAGAACCAACCAGGGCUGGGGAGGAGGGAGUGUUGCAUCCAUUCUUCCCCUGAGUCCUGUGAGACUGAGGUCCUGGGAAACCAGGAGGGGGGCACUGAAGGCCCAGGUAACCCCCAAAUCCAGGCAGGUUCCCCGGCCACGGAGGCAGCCUUGGCCCCUUUCCCCAACAACCUGAGAGCCAAGAGCAAUGGUAGGCAGGAUGACUGGCACAUCCCCAUCAAUAUCAGGCUCCCCUUCCCACCAGCCUACCUCCUCACUGAAGAGUAGGAGUGAGGGCCCAGAAGAACCCUGCCUAUCAAGACCCCGAGAGCUCUAAGAACAGUCUGGACCGGCAGGGCUGAGCAAACUGUCCAGUUCCUCUCACUGACAAGACCAGGAGACCCACCAGGAGAAUAUCUUAAUGCCCCGCUCAUCCCCCGCUCACUGAUCUUCCUGUGUUCUGACAAGCUCUGCCCUUUUUGUGUCUCCUGCAGACCCUGAAAGAUGGAGCCAGGCCCAGGCCAGCGUCAGGGAUUCUCUGGUCCCCUCCAGAUCUCUGGGAGGGCCAGGAAGAUGGCACCUCAGUGUCAGCAAGCCCUACCUGCUGGGUGCUGCCCAGUGGGGCAUGGCUCAGAGGUCUGGGGGCUCCCAGCUGCAGCAUGGCCCACAGAGGCCUGUGAGCUAGAUACCCCCACCUGGGCCUAGAUGAAGCAGCAGCUCAGCCAGGCAUUUUCUCCGGCCGUGCCCAUCCGGUGGGCUCCAACCACCACACCCUCCCAGCCCACUGACAAGACUUCUCUCUUGUCUAAGUCCUGCUCCCUUCAGUAGUGUCAGCUUCUGCCCACUGGCAGGGAGGAGAGUGGGGCGGGCCAGGCUAUGGGCAGAGGAGGCAGCCACCUGUUGCCAUGGCUCUGAGCCCACCUAUCAGCACCGGCAUCACAACCUCACCAGGCCAAGGUGUCUGGUUGCGUGGAAGGAGCCUGCAGCAUGGCCCAGUGGGGUAGGCAGCAGAGACAGCAGCUGGAAAUCGGAGCCACCUGACCUGGCCACCUCCCCUGACCCACCUGCCGCCCGUUCUCCUCUUCCUCAGGUAGAGGAAGUGGCUUAAGAGGGGCUUGGGCCAGCAGCCCCACCCUUGCGGGGCAGCCCCUCCUGCAUACCUGUCUGAGGGAGAGGACAGGGCUCCAUUCAGAGCUGGGAAACCCCGGGGCUGUGUUUGCCCCGUGUCUCUCCAUUCUCCCCUACCCUGCUCUCCACAAGUGCCAGAGGCUGCUUAGGGAGGUCUCAAGCUAAGACCAAAGACUGGCAGCUACACUCAGAGCCACCAAAUCACCAGGGUGACCUCCAUUCAGACCGGAACCUCCAGUGAGGAACCUAGAGCCCCGGAACCCCCCCAGGGCCUGGCGCGCUGUGACUAGGCCUCGACAAAAACCUGCUGAAUAAAUAUUACCCUCAUUUACCUUCCUGGUCUAAAUUCCCGCGCUCUGGGGGCAGUCGUCACCCCCCACUCCCCCGGCCUGGAGAAGCCAGGCUACCUGGGAUGGCCCGCAGAGCUGGCAUCAGGGGAAAGCUCCUGGGAAGCACCAGCCACUGCUUUAGGCCAGGAAAUCAGCUGCAAACAGGAGAUGUGGCCCCUGCCCUGGUGGAACUCAGGAAACAGACAAUAAACAAGUGGACAGACAAAGAAACAGAGUCCCAGGGACCUGAAGUUCUUUCCCGCGUUUCCCACUGGACCGCCUCUUCUCCACCCUGAGGAAUGAGGCCAAGAACAAGCCUAUCUUCCUUUAGACACUGGCCUUCCUGCCUUCGUGUGCCCUACGCCUGUACCUCACUCAGGCAUUUGGUCCUUGAUAGAGUGAGUGAAUAAACAGAAGACCCCACCUACCACCAGUGCCCUGGCCCAGUGGCCCCUGACAGCACCAGCCUCCUUGCUGCUUUCCUGGCCUCUGGGACUCGGCUUGUAAUACCCUUAACCCAGCGAUCAGAUCACUCUCCUGCUCAAAGUUCAACACCUCCCCCGUGCUAAUAGAUCAGCUCUGCAUUCUUGUUCCAGGCUGUCAGCGUCCAUCAUAAUCUGACCCCUGCCUGUUGUCCUCCAUCACCACACACACACACACACACACACACACACACAUUUUACGUGCUAGGGAUACAUCACACUGAGCAACUGGGAAUUCCCAGAUUAAGCCAGGUCCUUUAUACCUGAAAUGGGACUACACUUGUGGUUCUCUGAAACACUCCAUUUCCUGUCCUUUGUGCCCCAACACACACACACACACACACACACACACUCCCUUCUGUCCCCCACCCCUUCCUCCCCUCUCUGCAAAUGUUUGUUUUGCCUGGAAAAUUUCACCUGGCCCUCCAGGUCUCUCAGUCCAAAAGGAGCCAAAGUGCCCCCAGGAGAAUCUCCUCGCGCAGGGCUCCCUGCAUCGGACAUUCAGCCACUAAAGUGAUGACCACACUGUGUUCUCAUCAGUUACAUGUCAGUGGCCUCACCAAAUUGAGUUUCCUGUGGGCUGAGCCUGUAUCUUGGAGGCCAGCCCAGGGCCCCAGUGCAUAGUAGGUCUUCAGUAAACAUCGGUCUAGGGAAGGCAUGCACAAAUGGAGGGAUGGGUCCCUUACCACAGCUUGUCCCUAGUAGGACGGAGCUAGUACAGACCUAGGAAUCCAGGGCCACCAAACUCCGGGGUUAUCCAUGUCAAACUGCUACCCUAUUGAGGAGAACACCAUGAGGCUGAGAAGGGGUGACGAUGGCCCAAAGCCAUGCACAUUGGUGACAGACAGGACUCAAGCCUAGGGUUCCUGACUCUUGACCUUGGACCAGUUUCACUCUCCAACACAAGAGAUGUUUGAAGCUGCUCUAAGUAACUGUCUGGGAGGCCCCGCUGGCAGUUCCAUUCCCAGCUCCUGAGUUUCCUCUUUCCCAGAUGAGAGAGGAAACGGCUGCCAACUCAGCCUCCAUGGCCACAUUUGUCUAAUGGGGAAAAAUCUGUGGAGAUUCUCUGCAAGCAGGGCUUGGAGCUCAGGAUGCAAAGAGGUGGGAGGGCUCCGCAGUCAGCCCGAGCAGGGUUCAAAUCUCAGUUCUGCCCCUGGUGUGACCUAGAACAAGUGGCUUUUCUCCUCCCCGGGUUUCACUUUCUCAUCUGUAAAAUGGACAAUACACACUGUACUUAGUAUGCCUGGUGCUGAGGGUUAAAUGCGCUCAGGCAUGUCACUCACUGAACAUGGAGCUGAGCAAAAGGAGGUGCCCAUUGGUUCUCAUCACCAGCACCAUUAUCCCAGAGUCCUUCCCCCUGUUUCUGUGCCCUUCUCUCUGCCAGUGACUUACCUGCUCCCUCCUGCCAGACCUGCCGCACGUUGGCAACCUUUACUUAGUGUGAUAAGGUAAUUCCCGCCCAGGGUUUGAAGGUACCACCCUGCCCAGAUAACCUUGUUUGUCUGAUCACCCUAGUGCCUUAACCCCCAAAAGCAGCAGAGAGGAAAUCAUAAGGUAUCAGGGAAAGUUAGUGUUUAGAUCUCCCCCCACCCCCCGGCCCACCCUUGCACCUCUGUGCAUCCUGAGCAACCUGCUCUCU